AUGAUAUUGAAAAUAUGUUAAAAUGCAGAGAAGUAUGCUGAGGAAGAUCGACGAAAGAAGGAACGAGUUGAAGCAGUUAAUAUGGCUGAAGGAAUCAUUCAUGACACAGAAACCAAGAUGGAAGAAUUCAAGGACCAAUUGCCUGCUGAUGAGGUGA